UCAGGUAGAUAAGUGGUGUGCAUGUAGCUUGGGUCGUACUCAACUGCUGACAGAUGCCAUUGAAUACCGUUGUUGUCAAUAGGUUGGGCCUACUUUACAUAAACUGGUAUUCGAUGUUAGCAUUGAAAAAAUUAGCUGUGUUACUCUUCACGAAGAGUACACGAUUAUGACACAUGCUACAGUCUUGAAGAAUGUUGGAAGAAUGUUGGCUCACUUCUAAGAGACCAAGAUGGAAGGUCAUACAAGCGUAUGACCAAGAAUACAUGAAAAUGAAAUGCACUGGCCAUACCUAUUAUACAUGGUAGCAUGAACAACUUACAUGUGGGAAACAAUGGUGUUGAAGAUAGUUGUUUCCUAUCCAAAUGCCGUUGGAUUGCCUCAGUUUUGGAAAUUCGAUCCGAGAAAGUUUUGUUUAAGGCUUCUGGGACUUUUUCCUUAUACUUCUUAAAUAUGUUGUCCAUGGAUUCCUCACAACUAAGAACCAUGACAUUUUUAAUUUCAUUAACAUAGUCUGGAAAAAUGACAAGUGGUUAGAUGUGUAAGUCAAGAGUACCAAUGCAUACAUGCUAAACUUACAAUAUGAUGGUGCUGAAGAAACAGUUCUUACCCCUGAUUUAAAUUUUGGGAACAAGUAAAAAAGGCUUGGCAGAUAGAGAACAGUGAUUACAAGUUACCUGCAAUAUGUACCAAGCCAAGAAAAGUGGGUCAUCUUUGGAUGCCAACCAUUUAAUGUUGAAUGAAAACCUUCAAGACAACUAGUUUGUGCUUCUGAAGAUAGUUUUUUAACAUCUUUGAGAACAGAUUUUUUCAACAGAAUGGAGGAAAGUCACUGAUAUGAUUUAGUUCCUUAAAAAGAAUACAAUCCCAUCUGAAAAGUGGUAAAUAACAUUUUAGACAUUUUAACAAUCUCAAUUCUGUCUUGCUGCCUAAAUGUGUGCAUGCUCAUACCAACUUGAAGCCAUAGACGUUCAUCUAGCUCUCCGUGAGCACAUUUAGGAAACAACUCAUCUGGAUGGUUUUCAUGCUUGUUUGUAAUGUGCCUAGCAAUGGAUUUCCAUUUCGCAAUCGUCGUCUCAUGUUUAGCGAUUUUGCAACUGUUGCGUUCACGGUGAAUGCAGAAUCUGCGAAAUGCAUUGAACAUAGCACAGAGUACUGCUGAGGAACGAAUUUUGGCCUAUGUCUCCUAACAAAUUUCGUCCAUUUAUUCAGCCUCUCCUUGUCAUUCAUGGGGAAACGAUGUACUGAGACACCCUCUGUGUGUUGACUGUUUGUACAACUUUUUCCGUUGGGCCAACCAGCAACACAAUAUUGUCCUCCUCGACGAUUUAUUGCAGAAUUUUGCCUACUCGCCAUAUUUUAACUUGCGGUGUAUCGUUACGUUUGACUAACUUAAUAAAAAAUUAUUCUCCUUA